UCAAUGACCCCCAAGCCUGUUAACGCUGG
rnacentral:piRNA from 1 species